CACCCUCUGAUCCAGCCGACCCCCCUCCUUAUUUCAUGAUUUGGUUUGGUCCAGGUGCACGCGCUCCUGGUUGACCAUGAGCACGGUUACACGGAAGAGUCUCUCCGUUGAAAACUGAGGUCCGGGUUUCAAAAAAUAAAUUGGCAGCCAACGUGUAAUUGGUGCAGGCAGACCCUCCGCACAUAUGUUUGAUCACUAAUCUGACGACCUGGUGCCCCAGCAAACCUCUGGCUCAGCUGUCCCACGCAUCUCCCCAAACUCUCACUCAUGACAGUGAACCAGCCCCACUGAUAUCCGAAGAAGUAGCCACUAAUCCUCGGAGCGUUUUAUCAUGCAGUGGUGACAGUGGGUACUCCUGUCAGCUGACCUGACCCCAGCGGACCUCUGCCGCUAUCGACCAAGUGACCCAGUGUACUGCUGAGGGAAAACAACAUUUCCUGCAACUGCAGAGGGGUCCCCGAGCAGCGAGAGAGGAGCCGGCAAUGUGACUGACACAGGGUGACAAACACUUUGAACUCAGACAACAGGAAAUUAAUGCAUGGAGCGCCGCUCAAGGCACAGCACAUUGCAUGCGGCACACUUAAAUUGACACGUCUAUCCAGAUGACACAUGUUGAUACUGUGGCUGUGGCCUUGGUUUCACUUGUGAGUCUCUGCAUCUGGUUCUCCUCCAAUACUGCUGGCACACUGGCCACAUAAAGACAGGCCCUGCAGAUACUGGAGCCGCCCUGUGAAUACAAAUAGGCUGACUUGUUCCUCCGUGGGAGGAACCAAGCUCUCAGCCCCUCGGCUCCUGGCCUACUUCUGAAUCAAUGUUUGACAAAGGGCGAGUCUCUCCCUCAGCAAAAGGCAGGGAAUUAGAGAAGAUCUUGAAUGGUGAGAAGGCCACACGCAAAGCUAGAGGCUGUAUAGUCCACAUUCUCUCUCAGAGACAAACAGUCAGUGCGAGCUCAUAUUUCCCUGUCCUCAAUAAUGAAAAUAAACCUGCUUACACACCAAGUUUAUCCACGUCGAAGGUCACCGUGUCGGGAUAAACAAACUGCAGUUAGAGAGAGGGGUGAAGAAAGGGUUGGCAAAUAUUUGUUUGCCUGUAUUUUAUGAAGACCUGACUGACACCACUGAAACGUGAGCUUCGGCUGUUAAAAUGAACUUUAUUUUACAAUUUGUACAUAAUCUUGCACUGGAGUUUUUUUUUUUGUUUCAGGUAAACAGAUAAAUCGGGUGAAUGGUGCUUCUGAGUGAGAUUUAUCCUAACAAAAACAAUGAGCAAAGACAAACCUGCAGGUCUGACAAUGGAGCAUUGCUUUCAGUGUUAACUGUGGUGGAAGUUCUGAGGUUUAACACAUUGUUCUGCACUCAAAAAGGCAUAUUUUCCCUCUAAGUGUGGGUUAGCCACUUCUUUUUAAUACGCAUUGUCAGUUUAGCAUUACUUUUUGUGACUUUUACGGCACAUAUUUUGUCAUUCCGCUGUCAAAAAGACUAUCAAUUCGUUAUAAUAUUUAUAUUUGUCAUUCUUAAGACUAAUUUUAUGCUUUCAAAUUAUGUGUACGCUAUCAAACGUUAAGGGAUGUUAAACACAGAUAAAAUGGCGCUGCAUGUUUUACAAUGCAGGAAAUCAAUAUGCUUUUUUUCUCAUUAUUAUGCAUGUCAUUAUGCCUGCCAUUUCAACAGUCAACAAUCACCACAACACUUGAUUCCAAACUGACAUUCAAGGGGUCUGUACAAGAGAUCACAAAAAAAGGAACAUAAUUCUUCUAUGACAAUUUGAAGCCUCAGAUAAUUGCACAAAAUGUCACAUAAUUGUUGAAAAAGUCAAAACAACACACAGCCCACACAGCCUUAUGUGCACUGACAUAAAGUGCAUUUUUGCUAAGUUCUGAGUCAUUUCCUUCAAUGCCAAAUGGUAAACAGUGCAAUUUCCAGCAACCCUGCUGAGAGCUGUCACUCUGCCUCAACUGGUGUUAUAUUAAAAUGCUUCAGAAAUUAGCACUACCUGAGGCAUAAACCACCCAAGAACUGACUGUGGGCUCCAGCAGAAGCAGACAUUAAUUAGAGCAAAUAUGUGUCAUAGCUGGACAUAUUAUGUAUAAUAUAUUUCUACAGCUGCAGCCAAGUGUUACAUUGACCCCUUGUUAGGUCUGUGGACACAUUUCCACUCCCACACGGCAUUUUAAGCCAACAUCUUACUACAAGACUUCCGUACUGCCAGACCCUUUAAUGGCGCUCAGUCUAGUGCUCAUUUAAAAAUAUACUAAGUGGACAAUGCUUUGAACCAGUGUCGGGGUUUUUUGUGUUUUUCUUAGCCUUUAUUAGUGUCACAACCACACAGAGGAACAUUUACAAUGCAGUUUUCCUACCUGAGUUUCUCAUCUUUGAAUCACAUGGAAAGAUUUGGCUUCUCUGUAACACAUACGCGCUCUCUAAACUCUGCAGUUAGCAAAGAAAUAGCAGGAAAAGAAAGCAAAUAAACACUCUAGAAAAUAAAUUCACUAAUUUACCUGUCAAGGUGCUCGGGACUUAACUUGUAACCUGAGUCAAAAGUGUAUUUUGUCCAUAGCAAAAUAAUAAAAGCUGUUUUCUCAAAUAGUACCAAAACCACAAACCAUUAAAAAGCAACUGGCAUUUGACAAAAAAUCUCACAUUUAUUUUAUUUGUUAAACAAGUGUUGAACUUUACAUCAGUCUUAAGUGAAGAGCCCCUUGGUAACAUGUUUACAUAAAAAACAUGAGCUACAGUACAGCAUGUAUACCAGUGCUGGAAAAUAUUCACACAUUUCCCAUUUAUUUAUUCUUUUUUUUGGAAAGAUUUUAAUAAAUAAAAUAUCCAAACCCAAGCGGAAGAACUACAUUUAUGAUAGGAACUUUAUUGUUCAAAGUCGCUCGUUUCAUUUGCGCUCGCCCACCACUCUGCCGUUACUUAAAAAGAUCUAUAUCUGCCAGAAUUACACAAAAAAACUGUGCAAUGCAUAAGUCACCUUAACUGGGGUUUUUGCAUUCCCAUUCUACCAAAGUAAAUGGCAAA